UACGUAGGGUGCGAGCGUUGUCCGGAAUUAUUGGGCGUAAAGGGCUCGUAGGCGGUCUGUCGCGUCGGGAGUGAAAACUCAGGGCUUAACCCCUGAGCCUGCUUCCGAUACGGGCAGACUAGAGGUAUGCAGGGGGAGAACGGAAUUCCUGGUGUAGCGGUGGAAUGCGCAGAUAUCAGGAGGAACACCGGUGGCGAAGGCGGUUCUCUGGGCAUUACCUGACGCUGAGGAGCGAAAGCUAGGGGAGCAAACGGG
rnacentral:rRNA from 1 species